ACUCAGAAGUUAUUUAUCAUUUUGACACUUGACUUUUGAUCUAGACUCCCUGUGCCUAUUGGGCAGUGAAAUCCAGCCCUUUCAGCUUGUUUCCAAUUCAUGCUGUGACUCAUGUGUGCAUAUGUAUAUAUCUAUAUAAACACACACACAGAGGGGCAUCUGUAUCCCUCUUGACUUGGCAUAUGAACUCAGGCUGCUGCUUUGAGUUCUGGCCUCAAUGUGGGAAGCAUUGGUUUCUGAAUAACCUAAGAUAUUCAGGCCACCUGCUAAGGAUUUAGAUACUGGAUUAAACUAAAAAACUUCAGUGCUCAAGAUGGCAAAGACUUAAAUAGAAUUUUUGUGUUCUUCAAACGCUUGAUCCUGAGCAAGGCGAGCAAAAGGGGAAGCAGUUCCCGGGUGUAAAGUCUGGAAGGGAUGACACCUUUGCUGCAUGUGAGUACAUUUGCCAAAGUGCUCACAGUUGGGAAAGGCUUAGAAACUUACCUCACCCUGUCCUGCUGCAGUUCAUCUAUCCAAUAACACCUUGCCAAGGUUUUGCACUAUGUGAUCUUUAUGUGAAAAAAAUGCAAACCAACAUUAAGUCAGUCAUAGAUGGCAGGACACAAAAAGGCAAUUUUCUGACAAAUACGAAUUCCACAUCCAGCAAGACUGUGAGAAACCUUACAAGCGCAGGGCCAGCUUUAUCCAAGAAAGUGACCUCUGGGGACGAGUAAAACUGAGAAGUAAGUUUUAGUUCAAAUUUUUCUGCUGUAUUUUAAAAAACACACUAUAAAUGUGAUUAGAGCAUGAGAAUCUAUUAGCAUGAUGGUAAAUUAAAUGCAAAUAUCAGCGUAAUUCUGGUUCCAAGAUAUUAAUUUUUGAAGCACUAGCUCUAGCCCCAAGCCCAGAUUCAAGUAACCGCGGUAACCUGAAGAUGAUGGAAAUAAUUCAAAGUCAACUCCAUAUGGACAGCCCUGCACCUUGCCUGAAAAGGACAUCCUAAAUGUCAGCCCCACUCAGGUUUUCCACUAGCUGCUCAUCCAGGCCUGCGUCCAGCCUGCCACCACACAAGCAAAGGAACACACAGAUGCCAAAAAGUGAAAAAUCAGCUGAAUGUUAUUGGAUGCAAGUCUUGUGACAACUCCACAGGGACCUGUAGAAGCCCUUGUUUGCUGCAGUGCUAAGACAGGACAUCACCCCAACUCUCACAGGCAUUUGUUACAAGCACAGGAGCCAACUGGUUACUGGACAGUUAAAAAAAAAUAAAAAAAAAUACAGAUGUGAGGACAAAAAUGCCAGACUUCAAAUGAACCCACUGGCAGUUGAAAAAUCAGAAGGUUUUUCAGGCCAUAAGAUGUAGGUAUCUUGUCAGGUACCGGAACAGGCUGCCCGAGGGUGUGGUUGAGUCACCAUCCCUGGAGGUGUAUAAAAGACGUGUAAGAUGUGGUGUUUAGGGACAUGGUUUAGUGGUGGACUUGGCAGUGCUAGGCUGACAGCUGGACUCAAUGAUCUUAAAGGUCUUUUCCAACCUAAACAAUCCUGUGAUUCUAUGAUCUUACAGGUUAUGUACGCCUGAAUAACCCGUGGGAAGGGACCCGGGAGCUGACCAGCUGCACAGUCAGCCAUGCCAGCCCUCUCCCAUGGGGACACCUCCCUUGGGGCUCCCAAGCCUGGUGCCCACCAGGGGCAGAUGGGGAGAGCAGCCCCCUCCUUUCCACCUUCGAACUCUGCUCAGCAUGCAGGGCCUUUGGAGUGAGGUGGCUCUAUCCUCACCUGUUUUUUUUGGAUCCCAGCACCAGCUUGUCACCUCUCUUCAUAGCUUUCCAUUCUUUUGUGCUUUGCCACCUUUGCAUUUUUACCAUUACCCCAUCCCACAUUCACAUUUCUAUAGCACCCCAGUUAUGCCCUGCGUUUUAAUUAGGCGACAUCGCUUGAUGUCCUCCUCUUUCUUUUCAUUUCCAAAAUUGAACCAUCAUUUCUGUCUUUGCAUUGCCCUUUUUUCAUCUGUAGCCAAUUUUCCAUACACAAAAGCUCUUCUCUUCUCUUCUUUAGAUUAAACCUGUCCAAGCUCUUGAAUGCUGCCUUCUGCUGAGUUAUACUAACAGGUACUUUACUUCCCUUUGCCUUUUUUUUUCUUUUUUAAACCUUACUGACAUCCAGAUACACCUCUCCAGUGGGGGAUGGGAAGAAAAAACCCCAACAGACUAAUUUGUAUUUAUUUACAUCUGUAUAUUUAACAGCCACAAACGAGGAUAUUCUGUAUGUGUGCGCUCAUAUCCAUAUUGAUUGUCACGGAAUUAUAUGUAUCAACUCUCAAACAGAAAGUCCCUUACAAUGCGAAGUCAUGGCAUAAAACAUUAAUGAAAAGAUUGUCUUCCAUUUCUGAACGGCUGGAAGAGGCUGGAGCAAAGACUGUAAUCAACCCCCAGGAAGGAAAUGUUUUUGCAACCCCAUCUAAGUGAGACACAUCACCUGGUGUGUCAGCCUUUUAACAGCAUUCCAAUAUCUAUAUGUAGGUGGCAGGACACAUGAAAUCAGUUUAGUGCCCUCCUCUGCCUGAAACAAACAACAGGGCCACAGGGAGCAUUGUGGAAAUGUGGCUAAAUAUUUGUCGGCUACUUUUAUAAGAGAAGGAAGGAGAGAAACCCUACCCCAGUAUCAUCAGGAGGUGAAGAAAACAUCCUUAAAAUCCUCUUGGUAAGUACAGCAUCAAAAGAGACUUUCAACACAUUUUUGACAGCUAAUUUCCUGAUGCGGGAGAUGAGUAGGUUCCCUGAAAUACGCCUGAAGAAAGUUUGGCUCUUGUCUUCACAGUUUGCAGAGCUGCAAAAGUUUCACUGUAGCAGAAGGGUAACCGGCAUACUUCACCAAGAGAGAAACACAGAGGAAAAAAUAAACCCCAAGCAUCAGCUGAUGAUGUUCUCUAAUUCUCUCCUUAUUCCAAACUGGAAGCAAACCAAAAGAAGGGAGACAAAGAAAGGAACAACCAACAUUUUGUAGCAAUCAAGUUUAUUAAACUCUGAGGGAGCGAGGCACAUAGCACAACGUUACGGUCACUGGGCACAGGAGGCUGAAGCACACCAGCAGUUAAAUCCUCUCCUUCCCCCUCCCUAGCUUUUAAGGAUGACAGAUUUUUAUCUCAGCAUGGCAGAAAAUGUGGUUCAAGGUUACCAGAGCCCCAGAGCGGGCAGAGACGAACCUCCCGGCAAACUGCCUGCAGCCCCUCCGCGGGCAUGGCGGGAGGCAAGGGAAGGCAGGAGGAAGAGUCCGAACCAUUGCCCGGCUGGUUGAGCAGAGAGCAAAACAAAAAUAUAAACAGGCUUGUAAGGUGAAAGUGAUGUAAGUCAGCAAUCAGAACAUCAUAUCAGAUAAGCUCUGAGGUUGGGACAAAUAAUGCCAUAAUCUAAUCUAACCUUCUAUAUAAUAUGCAGGCCAUAAAAUUUCAUUCAGACCAGGGAACACCAUAGUUACCAAUUCUGGGCCUCAUCAUUUUAUGGGAUUGUAAACAAUCUUCCUCAAAUUAAUUCCAUAUGAAGACCAGUAGCCUCCAACAGCUCUAAACAUCCUCUGAUUUCAUUUAUACCAUCUGACACCUACCUAAUUUUGAGCAGCAGUUCUCAUAUAAACAACCUCACUGGAGAAACCCCCCAGCAGCAACCAGACAGAUUCCCAGUGUAAACACGAGGUCAGCCAAAGUUUGAGGCAGCACGACACUGGCACAAACACAUGUGGAGGAUUCCCACUGUUAUUCCAAGGAUUUUAUGCCAGCAAUACAUGCAAUAACCCCCCGAAGCAGGUGGCAGAAUCUCUCUGGAAUUUCUUAACUGGAAAAAACCAUGUAGGAAUAGGUGUAUUUUAGUGCAUGGAGCAGGUUAGCAGUUUAACUUAAAGGCAAAAGAAGCCUCACAGUGACCUCUGAAUAAGACACCAACUUCCUUACUGCCUAUUUUUAUUUUUUUCCACCCUAUAAGCCCUUUCUACACACAAUGGAGACAAACUCUGCUCACUGCAGCAUAUCCAGCAAGAGCCAGGUGCUCACGAGGGCACAAGUCCUCUGCUGGAGGCUCCUGCUCCAAACCGGGCAGAACAGAAACCUGGAUUCCAGCCUCCCUUCUUUUAUAAGAUGCCCCAGCUCUUAUUUACCUAUUCCAGGGAGGCAUUUUGGGCACAUUUUGGUCAGAAGUUCUGUCCAAGACCCUCAGACACCUUUUUCUAACCAGAAAUUGUUUUCCUUUCCAAGUAGUUUCUCCCCAGCACAUCUGUCAUGGACAUUGUAGCUCUGGUAGAGGCCACAAGCCCCAUCAAAAAUCAUAACAGAAUCGAGACAAGAACUGUUCAAGAUAGAGGCAGAGAAAAAAGAUUAAGCUUUUCAAUUUCAAUUUCAUAUAAACUGACGGGCAAGCAAAGCAGACAACAAAAAAUGUCACCUUACAACUGUGCUGCAGGAGCUGGACUCCAUCCCUGACUCAGAUUAAUGGAUACUGACACCCAAUACUGACAUAACAAACAGUUUAUUCACAGCCUGGGGGACUUCUAGGGUUGUCAAGAAAGAAAACCAAAUCCUUAUCUUUUGCCCUACAAACGCGUAGCUGGGAAGAGCCAAAAUGCUGCACAAUAACAAGGAAGGAGACAUCGGCACACUCAGAGUCCUAACUCACACCUACAAUCGAUGGAAGGAAGGACUCAGCCUGGCACCUCCAACCCCGUCAUCAUCCCACACCUGAGGCACUGCAGUGCAAAAGCUAUUCAAAUAAAUAAAUAAAUAACAGCAGCAGCCCCAACAACUAAAACACGUUUAAAUAUCUUUACAACCUGUGACUGUUAAAUACAGCUGAAAGUGUUUUAAUCUAAGACUUCAGCCCACAGGGAACAGCCUCUCAAAAUCGGAGUGCAUCGGAGUUUAAAUUGUUUGAUAAAUUAGUAUAUAGCUCUACAUACCUUUGUACGGUGAAGGGAUUUGCAUCUACAGCUGAAGAUGUCUGCCAUCCCCCCCUCAGCCACUGAAGUUGUGCCAGUACAGCUGUUUUGGGGUUGCAGUGUUAUUUUUCCCUGCACCAGAGGCCAGACCCACCCCCUGGUUCGACUGGUGGUCCCCCAGGGCCAGCCUGGCCGAGUGAGGGGCAGGAUGACACACCACCAGGAUGGAGGUCCUAUCAAAUAACGUUGCUGCAGAGCUCCGUCACGUUUAACUACAGCCUAGAGCCCAAACGCAGCACAGAUUUACAAAUGCAGACAUUGAGUAUCCGUACUAGUAUCAACAGGUUUACACAAGAUGUAACAAGAGGUUAACCACUCAUCUAUGUAACUGGAGGUUCAGGGCUUAAGUAGAGCGUCCACUUGCAAGGACUUUGGUACCUUCCUCAUGUCUUUGCGGGACUGAGGUCUUCCCUGUUCAGCAAAACAGUUAAAAAUGAAAACACUCUUGUACUGUCCAAGUCAAGCAUCAAGUACAUGCAGAAUCAAACCAGUGAAAUAACUGAUCAAAGACUGAACAAUUACAAAAUAGCCCUGGAAAUAAAGUGUUGUGCCAGCACAUGGAACACAACACCAGCAGCCGAUGAGACAUUUCCCCAGAUUUUACAAGACUAUUUUGGAGAGUGCUGUUCUGUUAAUCAAGUGUUAAGACUACUGCAUUGUUUCACAAAACUUGAAGUGUAGUUCAGAACAACACACAUGCCUAGAGCUUUAAUAAAUACGGUUAAGAACAAUA